rnacentral:rRNA from 1 species
UGCGUAGGCGGGCUAAUAAGUCAGUGGUGAAAUCUUCCGGCUCAACCGGGAACCUGCCAUUGAUACUGUUAGUCUUGAGUUCGGUUGAGGUAGGCGGAAUGUGUAACGUAGCGGUGAAAUGCUUAGAUAUUACACAGAACACCAAUUGCGUAGGCAGCUUACUAGACCGACACUGACGCUGAGGCACGAAAGCGUGGGGAGCGAACAGGAUUAGAUACCCUGGUAGUCC